GCGGAGGUGCCGGAGUGGCCGGGACGGGCUUAGGACCCGUUAGCUUAGUGCUUACGCAGGUUCGAAUCCUGUCCUCCGCA
rnacentral:tRNA from 1 species